UGGGACAGGUGAGAUGGGACAUGGACAGGUGAGAUGGGACAGGUGAGAUGGGACAGGUGAGAUGGGAUGGGACAGGUGAGAUGGGACAUGGACAGGUGAGAUGGGACAGGUGAGAUGGGACAGGUGAGAUGGGACAGGUGAGAUGGGACAUGGACAGGUGAGAUGGGACAGG